AACGAACGCUGGCGGCAUGCCUAACACAUGCAAGUCGAACGAUUCCUUCGGGUCUAGUGGUGCACGUGUGCGUAACGCGUGGGAACCUGCCCUUAGGUUCGGAAUAACUUCCCGAAAGGGGUGCUAAUACCGGAUAAUGUCUUCGGACCAAAGAUUUAUCGCCUUUGGUUGUGCCCGCGUUGGAUUAGCUAGUUGGUAGGGUAAAAGCCUACCAAGGGGUCGAUCCAUAGCUGGUCUGAGAGGAAGAUCAGCGACACUGGGACGGAGACACGGCCCAGAAUCCUACGGGAGGCAGCAGUGGGGAAUAGUGGACAAUGGGCGAAAGCCUGAUCCAGCAAUGCCGGGUGAGUGAUGAAGGCCUUAGGGUUGUAAAGCGCUUUUAACCGGGAUGAUAAUGACAGUACCGGGAGAAUAAGCUCCGGCUAACUACGUG
rnacentral:rRNA from 1 species